UGGGGAAUAUUGCACAAUGGGCGAAAGCCUGAUGCAGCGACGCCGCGUGAGGGAUGAAGGCCUUCGGGUUGUAAACCUCUUUCAGCAGGGAAGAAGCGAAAGUGACGGUACCUGCAGAAGAAGCACCGGCUAACUACGUGCCAGCAGCCGCGGUAAUACGUAGGGUGCGAGCGUUGUCCGGAAUUAUUGGGCGUAAAGAGCUUGUAGGCGGUUUGUCGCGUCUGCUGUGAAAAUCCGGGGCUCAACCCCGGACUUGCAGUGGGUACGGGCAGACUAGAGUGUGGUAGGGGAGACUGGAAUUCCUGGUGUAGCGGUGAAAUGCGCAGAUAUCAGGAGGAACACCAAUGGCGAAGGCAGGUCUCUGGGCCACCACUGACGCUGAGAAGCGAAAGCGUGGGGAGCGAACA
rnacentral:rRNA from 1 species